rnacentral:rRNA from 1 species
ACGCUGGCGGCAGGCCUAACACAUGCAAGUCGAGCGGUAGAGAGAAGCUUGCUUCUCUUGAGAGCGGCGGACGGGUGAGUAAUGCCUAGGAAUCUGCCUGGUAGUGGGGGACAACGUCCGGAAACGGACGCUAAUACCGCAUACGUCCUACGGGAGAAAGCAGGGGACCUUCGGGCCUUGCGCUAUCAGAUGAGCCUAGGUCGGAUUAGCUAGUUGGUGGGUAAUGGCUCACCAAGGCGACGAUCCGUAACUGGUCUGAGAGGAUGAUCAGUCACACUGGAACUGAGACACGGUCCAGACUCCUACGGGAGGCAGCAGUGGGGAAUAUUGGACAAUGGGCGAAAGCCUGAUCCAGCCACGCCGCGUGUGUGAAGAAGGCCUUCGGGUUGUAAAGCACUUUCAGCGAGGAGGAAGGGUUCAGUGUUAAUAGCACUGUUCAUUGACGUUACUCGCAGAAGAAGCACCGGCUAACUCCGUCCCAGCAGCCGCGGUAAUACGGAGGGUGCAAGCGUUAAUCGGAAUUACUGGGCGUAAAGCGCACGCAGGCGGUUUGUUAAGUCAGAUGUGAAAUCCCCGAGCUUAACUUGGGAACUGCAUUUGAAACUGGCAAGCUAGAGUCUUGUAGAGGGGGGUAGAAUUCCAGGUGUAGCGGUGAAAUGCGUAGAGAUCUGGAGGAAUACCGGUGGCGAAGGCGGCCCCCUGGACAAAGACUGACGCUCAGGUGCGAAAGCGUGGGGAGCAAAC